rnacentral:lncRNA from 1 species
GGUGAGUAGGGAGAAAUCGACGAUGACCCAUAUAGACGACCUUCUUACAAUGCUUCAAAUACAUGCUGUCUGUUUCGUCUAAACAGUGGGUGCAUGCCCGAUAUCCCUUAUUUGUCUGUCCCGAAAGGUUACUCAGUGCAGGCCAAUCAUUGAUGGUUACGAACAACAAUGCUCGUAGAUUAAAGAUCUCUUGUCUAUCCUCAUCCCACACACGUACA